rnacentral:rRNA from 1 species
UACGAGGGGGGCGAGCGUUGUUCGGAAUUAUUGGGCGUAAAGGGUGCGUAGGCGGUUCCGCAAGUCCUGUGUGAAAUCUUCGGGCUCAACUCGAAGUCUGCACGGGAAACUGCGGGGCUUGAGUGUGGGAGAGGUGAGUGGAAUUCUCGGUGUAGAGGUGAAAUUCGUAGAUAUCGAGAGGAACACCGGUGGCGAAGGCGGCUUUCUGGACGAUAACUGACGCUGAGACGCGAAAGCGUGGGGAGCAAACAGG